UAGAAGUGCGGUACAGCCUUCUAAAGAAGCCAGGCUUGGAACAGAACAGUUCUGGGAACACAGUCAGCACUGAUAAAACUCUUACUGAUGAAUUUACCUAUACCUGUGUUUAAGCCUUGUGAUCUGAAAAAUAGUUGCAAUGUGAAUCUAAGAAAAUAAAGAUGUGGAGUACACACAGCUUUGCCUCAGAUUCUCUGGACUAAAGACUAACACUCAUCUAGAUGCCCAAGAUCCCAUCAAUCACCACAUUUUUUAGACUUCUAACUGCUAAGAAAUAUUUUGGAUCUUCAGAAUAGAGACGUCUGGCAGUCACCAGCUGAACAAAAUGGUCAAACUUUGCACUACCAUCAUGGGACAGCCUGACAUAUGUGCCUCUUGAGAUAAUAUUCCACAGGAUGCGAGCAUAUGCAGUGGAAACAUUGUGUUAUUCCAUCCUCAGAAGAAAAGAGACAGUAUUAUACUUCAUCUCUUACUAGUACAUAACAUGAAAUCCUGUGGACAGAGACUCAGUUUCCUCAGUGCUGAUAAGAAACUGGCAAUUACCAGGCAAUUAACAAACAUUUUUGAAUAAAUGAAUGACUGAAUAAAUGACUGGUGUUAUUACCGUUGAUCCA